rnacentral:lncRNA from 1 species
CUCUUACGAAGAAACCGUUCUACGGAAGCCCAGUUGAGACAACUUGAGACAGGAUUCAGAAACGCUGAUUUUAGUAACCUUAACCCUCGGCCUUUGGUGGGAACUUCGGCUCUGUGGGAAUUAGUCUUUGGGGGACUGAUGGUGAUGCUGAAAUCUUAUUGCGUAGGAAAUUAAGUACAACAAAGAAGACCCGUCGUGAGAGGAGAGUGCGGAAGAAAUGCGAAGUCUACGGGAGGUGGCAGCUGCAGAAGCUUGGUGUUGGAUUUGGAGUUAGGAGACCGGGAGGAGCCCAGCUUCCGGUCCAGACGGUUAUCUUGUUGACUUGCACGACUGCAAACGCCCUGAGCUGCUUUUGCAGUCUGAAACAUCAGCGAUCCCAUCAAAAUAUUCUGUUUCUUGGGAUAUAAGAAACAUCCCAAGGCGGGCUGUAGAGCGAGAGAUUUGGACUCGAUUUAAAUACAGACAAAAUAGUAUGCAUUUACUAACACCACAUCUCACCCCCACGAAACUUGCCCAGAAGAUCCAUGAAGGCAGGACUGUAUCCCGAUCGCCACUGUGACACCUAGACAGUGCUUGGAGCGCACUCGGGCAUCUAAAAAUGUUGGUUGAACAAAUAUAUCAACAUCAAAAGCAAAAUAAACACAUUAGUAGGAAAGGAGUGCAUAAAAGUAUGGCUGUCCAAGGCAAACAAAAUGCAAACAGGAUUGCCAAUGUAAAUCUCAGCAGAAUUCAAGGCUAAACUCUUCAGAAGAAGAUUCCCUUUAAACGAAACACCAUAUGACCUACAGAAGAUCUAAGGUGUGAAUCUUUAUACACCAAAUAACAAAGCACGCAAAGUAAACCCAUGGUAGUGGUAAACUUCAAUUUUCUUCUCUUCCAAGCACAGAGAGAAGGCAAUAACGAAUAUAUUAAUCAAUACAUUCACACAUUCAAGCAUCCUAAAUAAAACUAAUGAAGUCAAAGUAACAGACGUAUCUAUCAAACUCUACACCCUACAAACAGUGACCACCCUUACUCAGUGGGAGGCUGCAUAGGAUGGUGUCUAACACUCUAGAAUUCAAAGUCUUGGACCUAGCUCUGGCCCACCAUUGGAGGUGAGGGAGACAGUACCCUGGGAUAAUUACUCAUCUUUCAUGAGCCUGGUUUCAUGUUGUUCUAAGAAUCAGGAGAUAAUCCACAUGCAGAAAUUACCACUGUGUCCUGACAAUUUGUGCUGACUGAGCAAACUACUAGUACUACAUUAUUAUCAAUACUUGACUACAUUCAUGGCAUACAUUUAAAAUGAUUUUAUAUUGGACCACAAAGAUAAAUUAUUAGAAUUCCCUAGGGCAGAAAUUAUAAAGGACUCAUUUUGAUGUAGCAAAAGGAAAAAAGUAAAAAUAACAAAUACAAACCAAAAAACCUAAACACGUGUGGAGUUAAAAGCACUUCUCCUGGGCAUGGUGGCUCACGCCUGUAAUCCCAACACUUUGGGAGGCCAGGGCAGGCUGAUUACUUGAGGUCAGAAGUUCAAAACCAGCCUGGCCAACAUGGUGAAAUGCCAUCUCUACUAAAAAAUACAAAAAUUAGUCAGGCGUGGUGGUGGGCGCCUGUAAUCCCAGCUACUUGGGAGGCUGAGGCAGGAGAAUCGCUUGAACCCAGGAGGCGGAGGUUUCAGUGAGCCGAGAUCGUGCCACUGCACUCCAGCCUGGGCAACAGAGCGAGACUCCGUCUCAAAAAUAAAUAAAUAAAUAAAAUAAAGCACUUCUAAACCUUAUACAUCAUAUUAAAAAAUAAAAACUUUGGCCGGGUACAGUGGUUCACACCUGUAAUCCCCAGCACUUUAGGAGGACAAGAUGGAAGGAUCACUAAGGCCAGGAGUUCAAGACCAGCCUGGCCAACAAAGUGAGACCCUGUCUCUAAAAAAAAAAAAAAAAAAAAAAAAAUUUAAUUUAGCCAGGCAUGGUGGCAUGUACCUGUAGUCCCAUUCCAGUCUGGGGAACACAGUGAGACCCUAUUUUUUUUAGAGUGAGUCUCUAAAAAUAAUAAUAAUAAAAAAUACAUAAAAGAAACAAAAGGAAAAAUAAAAGGGAAAGGGAAAGAAAUAAAGCAUCCCUAAAUCACAAUCGUGUAAGUAACACAGAUGCAAACUUAUGAGAUAUUCUCUGUCUUUAAUGAUUGCACACUGAACACUUGACACUCACUUUUCUGAACCCUCUAGAGUCUCUAAAAUACAAGCUCUUUUUAUUAAAUGAUAAUUGGAAACAAAAAGGAGGGCUAAAAGUGGACUAGAAAGUUUGAGAAAAUCUCAGAUGACAUGCACAAAUAGAAUUAAGACUGACAGAGAAUCAACAAAGGAAUCCCCUGUCUAAGAACCACAGGUAGACAGACGUUCCCAAGGAAGCCUCAGGGACUUGGAAUAAACUAAGACAAAAAGAAAGAAUGAGCCACAGGACAAUAAUCAGAUUAAACAACUGCACAAGGAAAAAUUGUGUCCUUGUACAAGGAACAGCAGAGCCAAUCAGGUCCUGUCUCUUUUCCAUCUCCCUUCCCUGGUACACAGAAUAAACCCUGCAGCCCUGGCCUCCUGGGUAAAUGUGGAAAAUCAUUCCUACAGUGAGCAAUCCACCUUGCUCACUGGAUGGAUGGAUGUGGGAAGCAGCAACUGUGGUCCUCCAGAUACCGAAGCGGGGAAGGGAAUAAAUGAGGAAAGCCAGUUCCACUGCAAAGAAAAACCCACCCUGGCAAUUGCAGAGGCCUCCAGCCUGCCUACUGAUCUUCAGCCAGCUGGAAUCCCAAAUUAAAGUCAACCAGUCAACAGGCCUCACCUACCCACAUACCAGCCCUUUCUUUAAAGGAGAAGCUAUUGGAGAAAGAGACUUAGGCAAGAAUAAAGGAAACUCCUAUUGCCAACUUCUAUACCAAUCAAUUUAAUCAUUUAUUCAUAAUAUAAAUGAAGAACCAGAGAUCACCAGGCAUUUGAGAAAUAAACAGCAUUAAAAAGCAGGACCAUGAUGAAAAAGAAGUGACCUGCAAGUUCAAGAGAUAAGAAUACAAUGUUCAUAAUCCUAAUUUUGUUCCCUUUUUUUCAAAGUCCAGGUUCCAGGCUUAUAUUAUAUAAUCCUAAUGUUUAGCCUUAAAUAUUAAUAACAAUAUUUAAUUCUAAAUUCUGCUCCAAGAUGAGGAUUUUUAUAAUCCUAAUAUUUAUCCUCAAAUUCAAAAGUAUAUUAUACACCAAAUAUAGGCAGCUAGGAAAAAGGACCAAUCAGAGAAAAAGAAAAUGAACAAAAACUUUCAAAUAUGAUUGUUGAAAUUAAAAAAUUAACUGGAAAUCCUAAAUAAUAAAAUGAGUGGGGAUAAAUAUCAAGUUUGAGAGCUCAAAGAUAAAGUCAAGGAAGAGCAAUAAAAGAAGAAAGUUUGCAUGGACACAAAGAGGGAACAAUCGACACGGGGGCCUAUUUAGGGUGGAGGGUGGGAGGAGGGAGAGGAUCAGAAAAAAUAACAAUUGGUCCUUACCAAGCUUAGUGCCUGGGUGACCAAAUAAUUCAUACAACAAACCCCCAUAACAUGAGUUCACCUAUAUAACAAACCUGCAUGUGUACCCCUGAACCUAAAAUAAAAGUUUAACAAA